GGUCCCAUGGCUUAGAUGGUAAAGCGCCUGCCUAGUAACAGGACAUCAUGAGUUCGAGUCUCAUUGGGACCU
rnacentral:tRNA from 1 species